GCCGGAGUGGUGAAAUUGGUAGACGCACGGGACUCAAAAUCCCGCGGAGUUUGACUCCGUGUCGGUUCGAAUCCGACCUCCGGCA
rnacentral:tRNA from 1 species